AUGGAGGGGGAGCCACCCGCGCAGGGCCCGCCCCCCAGCGCCGCUGCCGCCUCCGACUCCGGCGGCGGCGGGGAGAAGGGCGCCCUGUGCCAGGAGUGCGGAGAGCAGCCGUGGAAGUACCGGUGCUCGGGCUGCUCCCGCCUCACCUGCAGCCUCCCCUGCGUGCAGGCCCACAAGCGCCGCACCUCCUGCUCCGGCAAGCGCCCCCGCACUGUCCCCGUCCCGUUCGCCCAAUUACAACUUGCUGGAGGAGACGAGCCAGGUCAGGGAGUCGGCCCACAGGUUGCUCAACGGCUUCGGCCGCAACUUCGGCUGCGGCUUCGAGGGAUGCCAUGGCGCCCAGCUGCUGUUGUGGUUCUCCUUCCUCCGCAAGGCCGCGGAGCGUCGGGGCGUCCGGCUCGCCGUCCAAACCUGAAUUUUCCAUGGACCAUGUUUGUAACUUGUAUGUGUUUCUUUUGUUGCUUCAGUCUUUAG
rnacentral:rRNA from 1 species